rnacentral:pre_miRNA from 1 species
UCGGGGUAAAAUAGUGAGAAGCCGACAUGGGGAAGUGAUCGACCAUUGGGAUAAGUUUAAAUUUGCUUUUUUUACUCCAUAAACUUUUUACCGUGGGUAUAAAAAAAACCAGAUUUAAAUUUAGCCCAAGGGUUGAUCAUGUAUUUUCUCCAAGAAGGUUGCUCCCUAUUUUACCCCAA